CUAAUAUUUGCCAGCUCGGCUUAUCAAGAGUGGCAGUCUCGCCUCCUUUUAGAUCACCACCAGCUAAAGGGCACCCCUUUCACCUCUCCCACUUCCACUAUUCCCACCCCACCUUCCCCUCCUAUCAUGGUUCGUUGGCUUCCUCCUCCGACGGGUAUCUUCAAACUCAAUUUUGACGGCUCUAGUAAAACUUCAUCAGCAGCAGCAGGAAUUAUCACCCGCAACAGUACUGGAAAUCCGAUUUCGGCUUGUACCUACAACCUCGGUCAUACCCAGGCUUUCAUGGCAGAAGCUAUUGCCUUUCACAAAGGACUCAAAGAAGCUAGGCGUCUCAACAUUGCUCACAUUCAGAUUGAAGGUGAUAAUCUUCUGGUCAUCAACUCUGUUAAAGGAAAUUGGGCGCCUCCUUGGAACAUUCAUAACAUCAUCAAGGAUAUUAAGCAUCUCCUCGACCUCUUCGACACUUGGGAAAUCAACAGGCCCGGCCAUAGGGCGGUCUCAUCGGAUACACAGCACAGGGCCCCAAAUUUUGGGGGCCCAAAAACAAUUACACACUGUUGGGUAAAAAAAAAAAAAACUUCCCUUUCCCAUAACUUCCCCUUUCCCGCAGCUUCUUGAAUAAAUCAAACAUGGAAACCCAAAAAAACCUCUUCAAAUUCUCUUCCAAUGGUCAUUUCCAAAAAUUAGUGAAUUACAACCUUCAUCAACUACUCCACGCUUGAAUCUUCGACCACCAUGGCACCAUUCCUCUUCUCCCUCCUUCGAUUCUCACUUUCUCUCUCUUCCUUUCAAGCCUCCAGGGUUUUGAAAUCCAGUAAUUCAUCUGAGAAAUUUCGUCGAAGUUCGAUGGUGAAGGCGGUGAAUUUGGACGGAUUUGGAACUCCGAGUAGAAAUGAACGCCGGUGGAAUUUGGUCAAUUAGGUAGGGUUUAUUGAAGAUUUUGGGUUUGAUUUUUUCGAUUUGAUUGUUAUUGUUAUUGCUGUUGUAGAAUUUGUUUAAUUUAAUUGCAAAAUGGCGUGUAGUAUAUUAGUAUGUGAAUUUUGAAUUAGUAUUGUUCA